ACGGCCUAAAGCGUGGUUAAAUUAUAUUAAUAUAUAUAGAAAUAAAAAUUAACCCAACUGUCGUACGUAUAUGUUAAACGUAAAAUCAAAAACGAAAGAUAUUCUAAUAAACAAAUUAUUUGAACCCACGAAAGCUAAGAAACAAACUAGGAUUAGAUACCCUACUAUGCUUAACCUUAAACUUUGGAAUACCCCGCCUGAGCACUACGAGCCACAGCUUAAAACUCAAAGGACUUGGCGGUGCUCUACACCCCCCUAGAGGAGCCUGUUCUGUAAUUGAUACUCCCCGCUAAACCUCACCACUUAUUGCCACCCCCGCCUAUAUACCGCCGUCGUCAGCUCACCAUUUAAAUGAAUAAAAGUAGGCACAAUGAUAAACAUAAAAACGUCAGGUCAAGGUGUAGCGAAUUAAGUGGAAAGAAAUGGGCUACAUUUUCUACACAGAAAAUACGAAUAAUUUUAUGAAAAAAUAUUUAAAGGUGGAUUUAGCAGUAAAAAGAAAAUAGAGUGUUCUUUUUAAAUAGGCCCUAGAGCGCGCACACACCGCCCGUCACCCUCCUCAAAAAAUUGCUUACAUAUAUAAUAUUAAAAAAAUAAAAGAAGAGGUAAGUCGUAACAUGGUAAGUUUACCGGAAGGUGUACUUGGAUUAU
rnacentral:rRNA from 1 species